UUUUAUCAUCAUCACCA
rnacentral:sRNA from 1 species